rnacentral:rRNA from 1 species
AUUGAACGCUGGCGGCAGGCCUAACACAUGCAAGUCGAACGGGGCAGCAAUGCCUAGUGGCGGACGGGUGAGGAAUACGUAGGAAUCUGCCCUUAAGUGGGGGAUAACCAGGGGAAACCCUGACUAAUACCGCAUGAUCUCUUCGGAGCAAAGAGGGGGACCGCAAGGCCUCUCGCUUCUGGAUGAGCCUACGUCUGAUUAGCUAGUUGGUGGGGUAAGGGCCUACCAAGGCGACGAUCAGUACCUGGUCUGAGAGGAUGAUCAGUCACACGGGAACUGAGACACGGUCCGGACUCCUACGGGAGGCAGCAGUGGGGAAGAUUGGACAAUGGGCGCAAGCCUGAUCCAGCAAUGCCGCGUGUGUGAAGAAGGCCUUCGGGUUGUAAAGCACUUUAGCCUGGAAAGAAAAAACUUUGGUUAACACCCAAAGUCUUGACGGUACCAGGAGAAUAAGCACCGGCUAACUCUGUGCCAGCAGCCGCCGUAA